GACGAACGCUGGCGGCGUGCUUAACACAUGCAAGUCGAACGGAAAGGCCCUGCUUUUGUGGGGUGCUCGAGUGGCGAACGGGUGAGUAACACGUGAGUAACCUGCCCUUGACUUUGGGAUAACUUCAGGAAACUGGGGCUAAUACCGGAUAGGAGCUCCUGCUGCAUGGUGGGGGUUGGAACGUUUCGGCGGUUGGGGAUGGACUCGCGGCUUAUCAGCUUGUUUGUGGGGUAGUGGCUUACCAAGGCUUUGACGGGUAGCCGGCCUGAGAGGGUGACCGGCCACAUUGGGACUGAGAUACGGCCCAGACUCCUACGGGAGGCAGCAGUGGGGAAUAUUGCACAAUGGGCGGAAGCCUGAUGCAGCAACGCCGCGUGCGGGAUGACGGCCUUCGGGUUGUAAACCGCUUUCGCCUGUGACGAAGCGUGAGUGACGGUAAUGGGUAAAGAAGCACCGGCUAACUACGUG
rnacentral:rRNA from 1 species